AUGAACGCUGGCGGCGUGCCUAAUACAUGCAAGUCGAGCGAACGGACGAGAAGCUUGCUUCUCUGAUGUUAGCGGCGGACGGGUGAGUAACACGUGGAUAACCUACCUAUAAGACUGGGAUAACUUCGGGAAACCGUAGCUAAUACCGGAUAAUAUUUUGAACCGCAUGGUUCAAAAGUGAAAGACGGUCUUGCUGUCACUUAUAGAUGGAUCCGCGCUGCAUUAGCUAGUUGGUAAGGUAACGGCUUACCAAGGCAACGAUGCAUAGCCAACCUGAGAGGGUGAUCGGCCACACUGGAACUGAGACACGGUCCAGACUCCUACGGGAGGCAGCAGUAGGGAAUCUUCCGAAAUGGGCGAAAGCCUGACGGAGCAACGCCGCGUGAGUGAUGAAGGUCUUCGGAUCGUAAAACUCUGUUAUUAGGGAAGAACAUAUGUGUAAGUAACUGUGCACAUCUUGACGGUACCUAAUCAGAAAGCCACGGCUAACUACGUG
rnacentral:rRNA from 1 species